UCAGGGCGAAGAUGGCUUGGAGCGAGGAGGCCGGGAGUAGGACAUGUGCUACUCCUACUCCCGGCCUCCUCGCUCCAAGCCAUCUUCGCCCUGA
rnacentral:pre_miRNA from 1 species